UACGGAGGGGGCAAGCGUUGUUCGGAAUCACUGGGCGUAAAGGGCGCGUAGGCGGUCAUGUAUGUCAGGUGUGAAAUCCCUAGGCUUAACUUAGGAAUUGCGCUUGAAACUGCAUGGCUAGAGGCUGGGAGAGGAAAGUGGAAUUCCUGGUGUAGCGGUGAAAUGCGUAGAUAUCAGGAGGAACACCGGUGGCGAAAGCGGCUUUCUGGACCAGAUCUGACGCUGAGGCGCGAAAGCGUGGGGAGCAAACGGGAUUAGAUACCCCGGUAGUCCACGCUGUAAACGAUGAGCACUAGGUGUAGCGGGUAUCGACCCCUGCUGUGCCGCAGUUAACGCAUUAAGUGCUCCGCCUGGGGAGUACGGUCGCAAGACUGAA
rnacentral:rRNA from 1 species